AUUGAACGCUGGCGGCAUGCUUUACACAUGCAAGUCGAACGGCAGCACGGGGGCAACCCUGGUGGCGAGUGGCGAACGGGUGAGUAAUGCAUCGGAACGUGCCCUGUCGUGGGGGAUAACACAUCGAAAGAUGUGCUAAUACCGCAUACGACCUGAGGGUGAAAGCGGGGGACCGUAAGGCCUCGCGCGAUAGGAGCGGCCGAUGUCUGAUUAGCUAGUUGGUGGGGUAAAGGCCUACCAAGGCGACGAUCAGUAGCUGGUCUGAGAGGACGACCGGACACACUUGGACUGGGACACGGCCCAGACUCCUACGGGAGGCAGCAGUGGGGAAUUUUGGACAAUGGGGGCAACCCUGAUCCAGCCAUGCCGCGUGCGGGAAGAAGGCCUUCGGGUUGUAAACCGCUUUUGGCAGGAACGAAACGGUGCGGGCGAAUACCCUGUGCUAAUGACGGUACCUGCAGAAUAAGCACCGGCUAACUACGUGCCAGCCGCCGCCGUAAUAC
rnacentral:rRNA from 1 species